CUCUUGACUAUGGAAAGGAGAAAAGGAAACUCUUCAACAAAGCUGACAUAUUUCACAUCCAAAGUAGCAUCUCUAUUCAUUUGUGUUUUAUCUCAUACAUAAAAAUGAUAAGGCAUCACAAGCCCAGUGGAUUUUCACACUGUCAUUGUCCAGAGAGAGGCUGCCCAAUUGAACUCCUGAGUUCCAGAGUCCUGCAGAGCACCCUGACCACGAGGAUGAACCCUGCGGUGUACAACCUCAACCCUUCAAAGCUAACAAUUUCCAGCCUUCCAAGCAGUCUAAUGAUUAUGAACAUGGUUUCCUCCUUUCGCUUAAGAGAUUUGGGAAGCUCAGAUCUCAGCACAGAUAUCUGGAGAGUGUGCGGUCAGGGAAGAACAGCAAGAGAAACGGAUAUCCAGAUAGAGGACAUACUCAACAGAGAGAGGAGAGAAAGAGAGAGAGAAGACGGGGCGUGGGGGAGAGAGAGAGAGAGAAGAGAAGAGGAGGGGAGAGAGCCUUUGCACAUAAUGCUUCCAUUGAUAACCACCAAGCCAAAGAAGCAGGAAGCUCUCAGCGUUGUUGGCAUUUUACUCAAGCCAUGCUGUGAAGCUUCUUUUUGGUGUAAAGGACUUUGGGAGACCAAGGCAGGCAUAUCACCUGAGAUCAGGAGUUUGAGACCAGCAUGGCCAAAAGUCAUGAUACCCCAUCUCUACUGA
rnacentral:lncRNA from 13 species